UUUCAUCUUCUUCUCAAGUCACAUGAAACCUGGACCAACCCAUCAAUGUAUUUUCUUCAUUAUUUCUACAAAAUACUUAAUUAAAGCAUCACGUGGCUUUGUUUCAAAAAAAAAAAAAAAAAAAAAAAGCAGCAUGUGGCCAUGCUCUUAAAUCAAUUCCCACCGAAAAUGACAUCCAAUCGACCCCUUGCCUAACAUUAUUGGUACUAUUUAAAGAGAAACAAAACGUGGAGGAGAUUGCAAAUGGAAUGUCGAGCUCAAAAUUUAUUAUUCUUAAUAACAUUUUUAUGUUUAACAUGGGUUCUUAAAAAAAGGCAAAAAAAUAAAUGAAAAAAGGGAAAUUAGACAGAACAGCUGUCUAAAUUAGGAGUUUUAGAACAGCUAAAACCCCAUACGUGGCAGUUUGAUAUAGGCUAAUCUUUAGGCAAAAGGAGAAAAAAAUCAGGGUUUUCUUUCUCGAUCUCUCUUUCACGAUCGAAUUUUUUGUGUUGAUUUUAAGCAAAAACGUUCGCGGGAUCUUUGGAGGUGUGACCUGAGAUCACGAAACAAACAAUCUCUACUCGACUCAUUCAUCACACACCAUGUGGAGAAGAAUCGUAUCCUCUCAUCUCAAAGUCCGAUGUCGCCGCUGCUUCUCCUCGCCGAUCCAUAGCCACCACCACCGCGAGACCCGUUGGCUUCCAUCGCGCAGCCAAUCCCGCUUCGUCUUCUUCCGUCAUCCAUCGCUGUUUCAGCUCUGAAUCAGGUGGUAUAUCGUUGCUAUAGUGUCUACGUUUUCAGAUCUCGCCUUUGUGAUUAUGUUUAUGCUGGAUUAGAUGCAAUUAUCGCCGUAUUAUCUUAUCAAUCGUUUCACCACUGUUCUUGCUUACGCCGUUGUUACUGCAAGUUUCUGUUAUUCUAUCGAUUUUGUUGUUCUCUUUUACCAUUGAAUCUGUGCAAGAGUUAUUACCCUUUUACUUUGCAGUGGAGACAAUAGCGAAGAAGAAGGUGGAGGAUGUUAUGCCCAUUGCAACUGGACACGAGAAGGAGGAGCUUGAAGCUGAACUUGAGUGACUAUCUGUUCAAGCUUUCGCUUAUUGGUGACUCUGGUGUUAGAAAAUCCUGCUUGCACGUGUGGUGAUGUAGGUCAUUUCGCAACAGGGCAAACGGCGGCGGAUACGUCGGAGGUGGAGGUGGAGGUGGCGGUGGAAACACUUGCUAUACCUGUGGCGGAGUUGGACACAUGGCUAGAGUUUGCACAAGCAAGAGACAGUCUGGUGGUGGUGGUGGUGGUGCUUGUUAUGAGUGUGGAGGCAUUGGUCAUUUGGCACGUGACUGUGAUCGUAGAGGAAGAGUAGGCGGUGGUGGAAAGUGUUUCACAUGCGGCGAGGAAGGUCACUUUGCGAGGGACUGCUAUUCGCUUGCUUAACAAAGAAAAAGAAGAGUGAUGUUCAUAAACUUCUUUGUUUUCUAUUGGUUUUCUGAUGUUUACUAUUUAAAUGGUGACUAUAAUGUGAUAGCUAGAGUUGUUUCUGUUGAUGUUUUGGAAUGUUUAUUGAGAGUUUAUGAUCUCUAUAUUGCUCGUAUAUGACAGGUUCUUGCAUACCUA